rnacentral:sRNA from 1 species
UUGUUUCUGCCUUGUCUGCAGCCCAGUGAUUGCAAUAGUAUAUAAGAAGUACCCCAAAAGUAGCAGUGCCACUGCAAUUACAAUGCCUACGAUACACCAUAUCCACCAUUCUCUCUUUGUACUUCCUUUUUCGACAUCCAGACCCAUUGUGAUAUAAAGGUCCGUAGCCGACACAGGUGCAAUCACUCCAGCAAGUUGCGUGACAAUCGCUAAGAUCCAAGUUAGUAUUACUAUCAUUAUACGUCAACUUAGCAUCACCUGAGUAGCCUCUCAUCGGUAGAAAUAGCUCAGAACCAUUCCUGCAUUCAGAGGUCGUCUGCUUUAUGCACACUGCAUCCAGAUAAUUUGGGUUGGACGUACAUGGACUUGUAGCUGUGGUUUCCCAUGUAGUACCGUCUGAGCCUAAAAUUGACUGCAUGAGUUGGCCCCAAGUAUUGAGUUCCCAUCUCGAAAGAGUUGAGUUGUUUUUAACAGUAUAAGUGAAGUACUUCUCCUCUGCAUUUGAAACAAAAUUGAACUCGAACAAAUCAGCCCUGCUUGUGAGUUCAGGGGCCCUCUGAAAACUUCCACUUUCCCAGAUCCCACUGGUCCAGUAUACAACGUCUCGCCGCCAGAUGAUUAACCGGUUGGUGCUACUGGGAUCCACACUAAGCCUGAAAGCACCU